ACUGGAGUGACACAGUCAUAAGCAGAGAUCUCCGCAGACCGACGUCAGUUCUAGAAGCUUGAGAGAAAGGAAGCGCAGAGCCUUUCAGAAGGAGCAGCCCUGCUGCCCAUACGGACUUGGGACUUCCUGCCCUGGAACUGUCAGACGGUUACAUUCUCCGUGUCUCCAGCCACGCAGCUUGUGGCCGCACACACGCCUGGACACAAACCAUGGAAGGGUUAAACGACCUGCCCACGCACCCAGCCAACGCCUGCGUGCCAGGCACUGUGCCAGGGCGCUGCAUGCUGACCACUGCCUUGACGGCUUCUCUGAAGUUCCAGAAUCAGUUCCACCGCACCGAGAAGGAAGCCAGGGCUCAGAAAGACAUUGCCUCCUAGGAUUAUAGUCCUCAGUUCUGCUCCCUCCCCCGGCCAAUUGCCCUUUCUGCAUGCUGUGGUUUCUCUAAUUGGCACAGAACAGCCCAGGAUAGCCAAGACGGUGCCAGGAGACCAGCAGGAGGGAGCUAUCGUUAUGGUGACACUUUCCACCCUGGACUUUAGCCAGCCACUGUGGGUGGGCGAGCCAGACCUCGGAGCGGCAAGGCUUCUGCAAGGGGGUGAUGCCUGCGGGAGGCUCCACCAGACGCAUGCCCUGGACCUUGGACUUCUCAGACUCAAGAACUAUAAAGGGGAAAAAAGGAUCUAUAACUUAGCCAGCCUCAGGUAAGUCUUAGUGCAGACUCCUGCACUGAGACAUCGUGGACCAAGAGGAUGGUGGAAGAACCAGAGCUGGGUACUUGGAGCCAGAGGAGCAGGUGUGGACAGGAGAAGAUGCUGGGCGCUGGCAUACAGCAGUGCUGACCUGGAACCUCCCGACACUGUCGGCUCAGUCCUCACCAACAGUCUCCUGGAGCAGCUUCUGUGACCCAGAUGAGCCGGCGAGGAGACGGAGACGUGGAGAAGAUAAGUAAGUCAGCAAAGCCUCGGUUAAGAAAGAGCCAAUGAGGUAGGACCAGAGUCCACGUUCGUCUUUGCCUGGCUGGACAGGUGGUGUCUCUGUGUGUCCCCAUGGCAAGGACACACAGACUGGGUGUCUUUAAAAAUAGAAGUUUACUUUCUCACGGCUCUGGAGGCUGGAGUCGAAGGUCAGGUCAAGGUGUUGGCAAGCUUCAUCUCCCCUGGGUUUACAACCACAGAACCUGCCUUUGCUGAAUGGAAACCCGUGGUGUCUGUCUACACGUGGUUUCUUCUUAAAAGGACACUUGUCAUAUUAGAGUAGGAUCCACCCUGAAGGCCUCACUGUGAUGUUUAAAUACAUCUUUGAAGACACUAACUCUAAAUUCAGUCACAUCCCGGUCUCCAGGGUUAGGGCUGUCACCUAUGAGCACUGAGAGACACAGCUGAGACCACAUCAGAAGGGAAGCCCACUUGGGGCUUGUGGCAGAGCUAGGGGGGCUUCGGCUGUGUUUCGGAUGGUCUCGGUGGCAGCUGAGUGUAGGUUGGAAGGAGGUGACAGUCCUCCAGUAUAGCUGCACCCUGGAGCCACUCAAGGAGCUUGGGAACUGCCAGGUCCCUGCUGUACUCAACGCCGACUGUGUCUUAACUCUCAAGGAAGACAUGUGGCCAUCAUUAAGGCUCUGAGCGGUUCCCAGGUCAGGCAGAGAGAACUUUCCACUCUGGAGAGAAAAGAUGGUCUGAAAGCCAAGUAUGGCAAGAACACUCUCUUGACAGAUGGGACAGUCCAGAAAGGUGUGGCUAUGCCUACUAUCAGAAAUGCUCCCUGUGUUCCCAGGGAGCCAACAUCUUUCCUAUAGCACUUCCUGUAACGUCUAUGUAAUGACGAGCUUGGCCUUGAAGUGCAGGCUCUCAAGGGCUGCAGCAGGGUCAAGGCAACGAGUCUUCUCCAUACAGUGGCCCCUGGGGCUGGAGAGAGGGCUCUGCAGUUGAGUGUUUGCUGCCUGCAUAGUAAGUCUGGUUCCUAGCACUCCCCUUCAGUGGCUCACCAACACCUGUAACUCCAGCUCCAGGGGACCCAACAUGGCCUUCUGACCUCCAUAGGUACCAUUCUGUCACACACACACACACACACACACACACACACACACACACACUAGAAAUGAAUCUAAAUAAAAGACCCUUGGCUGACCAGCCAACCAAAGACUCUGGAGGUUGUGUGUGUGUGGGGGUACUUCCCAACCCCAAAGCGAUGGCUUCAGAAGGGCCUGGCAAUACCCUGGUCCCCGACAAACCGACCCCCAGUGGAACACAGACACCUCCAACCUAAGAUAUUUCCUGGCCAUUUCAGCACCGCAGGGUCCAACCAGGUGCUUCUGUGAGGCCAGCACACUCACAGAGGAGACUAGAUACCAGUAGUAGUAAGUAUGUAGACCAGUCAAGUGAUUACGAAAACGAAGAAUGCUUCCUGCUUUCGGGCCUUUCCAUGGAAAACAUCUAGGCUAGCGUCCCCAGUACAGGCUUUGCGCUGGGUACUCACCAUCCACAGUGAAGAGAAUGGAGAAGAAGAUGGUACACUGACGGCCCAGUAGCGAAGGGGAGACUACGCUAGUAGAACAAGGGAAUGAAACAAGGCAAAUGCGGACUGCCACCAACACCCGACACUGCCCCCACAGUCCCCAAGAGUGAGGGCCCCUGGGAAAUAUGCGAGUGUGUGUGUGUGUGUGUGUGUGUGUGUGUGUGUGUGUGUGU